rnacentral:rRNA from 1 species
AACGAACGCUGGCGGCAUGCCUAACACAUGCAAGUCGAACGAGACCUUCGGGUCUAGUGGCGCACGGGUGCGUAACGCGUGGGAACCUGCCCUUAGGUUCGGAAUAACUCCCCGAAAGGGGUGCUAAUACCGGAUAAUGUCUUCGGACCAAAGAUUUAUCGCCUUUGGAUGGGCCCGCGUUGGAUUAGCUAGUUGGUAGGGUAAAAGCCUACCAAGGCGACGAUCCAUAGCUGGUCUGAGAGGAUGAUCAGCCACACUGGGACUGAGACACGGCCCAGACUCCUACGGGAGGCAGCAGUGGGGAAUAUUGGACAAUGGGCGAAAGCCUGAUAAAGCAAUGCCGCGUGAGUGAUGAAGGCCUUAGGGUUGUAAAGCUCUUUUACCCGGGAUGAUAAUGACAGUACCGGGAGAAUAAGCUCCGGCUAACUCCGUG